UUACGUUGGUAACGCAGCCCUGCUGGCAAGGCCGCUAACCUGGCCAGCACAAAAAAACCGCCGUUAAGGCGGUUUUUUUGU
rnacentral:antisense_RNA from 1 species